ensembl:snRNA U6 U6 spliceosomal RNA
GUGCUCAUUUCAGCAACACAUUUACUAAAAUUGGAAUGAUACAGAGAAGAUUAGCAUGGCCCCUGUGCAAAGAUGACAUGCUAAUUUGUGAAGCAUUCCAUAUUUUU